UGGGGAAUAUUGCACAAUGGGCGAAAGCCUGAUGCAGCAACGCCGCGUGAGUGAUGAAGGUCUUCGGAUUGUAAAGCUCUGUCUUUUGGGACGAUAAUGACGGUACCAAAGGAGGAAGCCACGGCUAACUACGUGCCAGCAGCCGCGGUAAUACGUAGGUGGCGAGCGUUGUCCGGAUUUACUGGGCGUAAAGGGUGCGUAGGCGGAUGUUUAAGUGAGAUGUGAAAUACCCGGGCUUAACUUGGGUGCUGCAUUUCAAACUGGAUAUCUAGAGUGCAGGAGAGGAGAAUGGAAUUCCUAGUGUAGCGGUGAAAUGCGUAGAGAUUAGGAAGAACACCAGUGGCGAAGGCGAUUCUCUGGACUGUAACUGACGCUGAGGCACGAAAGCGUGGGUAGCAAACAGGAUUAGAUACCCUGGUAGUCCACGCCGUAAACGAUGAGUACUAGGUGUAGGAGGUAUCGACCCCUUCUGUGCCGCAGUAAACACAUUAAGUACUCCGCCUGGGAAGUACGAUCGCAAGAU
rnacentral:rRNA from 1 species